rnacentral:lncRNA from 1 species
UCAGUGAAGUGAUAGUUCAGUGCAGUGUUCGGUACAUAAAACGCCUAGAAAGCCAUCCAAAUGCCCUGGCAAUAAAUUUGCUUGGUAAUAGUCAACAAACUGCCUGGACCUGAUCUAUAAAUACGUUUUCUAUCUCAUCGUAAUUGUGUUUAUAUUUUAGAUAAGAUAUGUAUUGUUUGUAAAUAUGAAAUCUAUGUUCCUAUGUAGCAUAUUAUCGGAAUGUCAUGUUUGUUCCAUACUAGGUCCAGUCAUUGGACUGACCUCUCUAAUGUCAAUUUUUUUUUUUACUUCAAACCCCAAGGACCCUCAUUGUUAGAAUGUUUAUAAUUAUAACUAAUAUAUUGCUAAAUAAACGUUUCAAAAAAAUCUUCUGAGCAAGAAAAUUUAUCAAAUGAAGACUUAUUUUAGUAUUUAGUAGUGUUUCUUUAUAAAACGUUCUCUGGAAGAUAUUUUAACUGUACCAAAUUUGUAUGUUUUAGAAUGUAUAUAAAGAUGUUUUUUUAUUUACCAAUUUAGUGUAUAACUAAUAUUCGAAAUGUAUUUUUUAAAUCUAAUUACAGGGUUCAAAGUGACAUGGAACAGUCAGGGAAUUUUCUAGAGGGUAAGGAAAAGUCAGGGAAUUUAUGGUAUAUUUGGGUAUUUUUUAAAAUUCGAAAAAUCCUAUAAAAUCUGGAUAUGUAGGCAAUUUAUGUUGGGGUCAUCACUAAAAAAUUUCUUUAUUGGUAUGAACAUACAGGUACUUGCCAAAUGGCACUAUGGAGUUAAAAUGCAUCUUUUUCGCUUAGGAAAUAGGUUAAACAUUGUAUUAGGGGUCCUUAAGAACCAUAAUAUAAAAAUCGAAAACUUUUGAGAUACACCCUUUUGGCUUAGGACGGCAGUAUAAUACACUAUGUUAAUUAUUAUAAACAUCAACUUUUAAAAUAAAUAUUGAAAAUGAAUCAAUAACGAGGUGAGGAAAAAGUCGGGGAAUUUGAAAUCUGCUAUUCACUUGGAACCCUGAAGUAUCAUUCACAAUGGAUAAACUGUGUUUAUGAAAAAAAGAUUCUCUUAUUCGAAGUGUAUUUUUGAAGAAAAUAUUUCAUUUUAAUUAAAAGCUGACUGACAGUUUCA